rnacentral:rRNA from 1 species
AAUGAACGUUGGCGGCGUGGAUUAGGCAUGCAAGUCGAGCGAGAACCCAGCAAUGGGGGACAGCGGCGAAAGGGACAGUAAUGUGUAGAUCAUCUGCCCUCAGGUCCGGGAUAGCUGCGGGAAACUGCAGGUAAUACCGGAUAACAUCUCCGGAUCAAAGGUGUGAUUCCGCCUGAGGAUGAGUCUACAUCCUAUUAGCUAGUUGGUGGGGUAAUGGCCUACCAAGGCGAUGAUGGGUAGCGGGUGUGAGAGCACGACCCGCGUCAUUGGGACUGAGGCACUGCCCAGACAGCUACGGGUGGCGGCAGUGGAGAAUCUUCGGCAAUGGGCGCAAGCCUGACCGAGCGAGGCCGCGUGCGGGAUGAAGGCCUUCGGGUUGUAAACCGCUGUCAGAGGGGAUGAAAUGCAGGUGGGUUCUCCCAUCUGUUUGACAUAGCCUCAGAGGAAGGACGGGCUAAGUUCGUGCCAGCCGCCGCAGUAAAAC